rnacentral:rRNA from 1 species
UACGUAGGGUGCGAGCGUUGUCCGGAAUUACUGGGCGUAAAGAGCUCGUAGGCGGCUUGUCGCGUUGUUCGUGAAAAUUUACCGCUCAACGGUGAACUUGCGGGCGAUACGGGCAGGCUAGAGUACUGCAGGGGAGACUGGAAUUCCUGGUGUAGCGGUGAAAUGCGCAGAUAUCAGGAGGAACACCGGUGGCGAAGGCGAGUCUCUGGGCAGUAACUGACGCUGAGGAGCGAAAGCGUGGGGAGCGAACAGG